UGAGAGCAUAAUCUCAAUACCCAACUACACUUCUCUAAAACCCUAGCUACCAGCCACCGCGUUCCUCCUCCUUCUUUACGAUUCAACUCAAACCUUAACUAUCAGCCACCGUGAUCCUCUUUUUUCUUAGUUGUUCAACGAUUCAAACCCUAAAGCAAUUUCCCCAUUCAUCUUUUUCAUAUAUACAAUCAAUGUCAUAGAGCAAUUGAAUGGUUGAAGAAAAUACGCCUCUGCCUUUCUUUUCUAUCUUCUGGAAUCAUAAUCAAUUUUUUUUGUUGGAAGUGGACACUCAAUUUUCCCUGCUCUGAUCAAGAACAACGGUUCCCUGCCUUUUAACGUUAUCCUUUAUGCUUCGAGGUCUAUUCUGUAGAUAUAAGAAAUGGCUGAAUUUGCAAAGGGAGGAAAAAGUGUUCCAAAGUCUAUUUUUAAGAACAGAAAAGAAAUGAAGACUGGGCUCUUGCAAAGAAGCAAGAGACUAAGGAGUUGAAGAAGAAGAAUGCUGCCAACAGGAAGUUGAUCUUCAAACCCUAAAUCGAUAUCCCAAGAUGUUGCUGCCCAAGUGGAGUGAGGUUGCAUUUUGUUAGAGCAUUGCUGAGAAGUAAACUAAUGGAGUCUUUACUUUUGAUAAGGUUUGUUGAAGAAUUUUUUUCAUGACUUGCAUGAAGAAGUGACGAUGGCUGCUGCUCAUGGCCAUGGUCUACUAAUAGGCGUUCAACAACUUGAGUCACAAAUCCCUUCAAUGGAAAUUUGAAAGGGCGUUUCUAUCUGAAACAUCCCAUUCAGCCUUAAAUGAGUUGACCAAUGUCCUUUCUUAGUUAGUGGAGCUUUUCUUAAGGGUACAGGAGGAAGCUUAAAACAGGAUUGUGUAGCCAAAAUGGAACCAUCCAAGGGUUUUUAUUGGUACACAUUGGAUAUGGGAGCAGCACAAGCGAUGAAGAGAAUUCCACAGAUCACGUUUGUACAACAUCAUUCUAUGCCUUUGGUUUGUAUUCGUUUUGAUCUUUUCGUUUUUUUGUUAAGACAUUUGAUUUGUUUGUGUUAAUGUGUGGAUAGGUUGUUUAUUGUUAGUUUAGGUUUCCGAUUAUCAUUUUUUUGGAUUAGAUGUCAGAAAAUGUGUUAUGUAUUAAGUUAGGGUUAGGGACUUUUGGUUGGAAUAAGAGAAUUGGAUUUGCUGACUGAUUUGGUGAGAUUGAUUUGAAGAAUAUGAUACGUGACCUGAACUGUUUGAAAACUUUUGUUGUAUUAGGGCCAUCAUAACUUGAAUACAUGGUACUAACUUUUCUUGAGGAUAACAAUGACUGUGAAGACCAAAUAAAAAUCUGUUUGGAACGUGUAUUGACUUCGAGUGUAAUGACAUUGUGCUCUGUCUUAUAAGUUCUUAUUUUAUCAGUUGAAGUGUGUAUUUCACUGUCAAUUCACAACUAGAAACUGGAGCUUCAUCUUCUCCUUCAAGACAAAGUCUUGAGUUGAAGAAAUCAUGGGGGAUGUGUGGACUGUUUUUUGUUAUCAAAUAUUUUGCUCUUGGGCAUAUGAUUAUCACUUAUCCGACUAACUGCAGAGCAUGAAGAAAACUUAUGCUUCACCGAAUUGAUCCUGAAUCAGUUCUUUCGAGCAAAUAUUUGUUUACAUCUGUGGAUGUGAAAGUGCCACCAUCACCAACGGCUGAUGUUAGGGCACCACAAAGUGACAAUGAAAUCAGAAGAAAACCUGUGGGUCAAGUUCCCACUGAUGCUAAUUCGAUUCUUCGGUGAUAUGGAAAAUCUAUUCAUGGGUAUUAAUUUUAUCGCGAUCUUCCACAUUUUCGAUUUAGCCAGAAUCCUCUCUCAUCUUCUCUCAUCACCGUGAAGGUUUCUCCGGCAACAAUCAACUUUGUUAUUCUCUUGGCAAGUGGUCCCGGAAGAAGAAAUCUUAACCGAUCAUCUUCUCAACGCCGAGCACCACUUCAGUUUGUUCAAAACAGAGUUCGGUAAAACGUAUGCGACUGCAAAGAUAGUUACGGAGCUUGAUGGUCAUGUGAUGCGUUGUAUGCUCAAAAGGGCAAUCAUGUUAUUCAGAAGUUUAUUGAAUGGGUACCAGAAAAUGCUAUUCAUUUUAUAAUCUCUACUUUCUAUGAUCAAGUUGUAACUUUGUCAACCCAUCCGUAUGGUUGUCGUCAUGUCAUACAGAGAGUUUUGGAACACUGUCAUGACCUUAAAACACAAAGCUUAGUGUUGGAUGAAAUCUUGAAAUCUAUCAAUAUGUUGGCCCAACAUUAAUAUGGAAAUUAUGUCGUUCAGAAAUUUUUGGGUCCAUUUGGUUAAGAGGUGGCAAGUUGACUGGUGAAACUGGGACCCUUGGCUAUAUUGCAACGCAUGGGAAAGCUUAUAUCUUCAUUCAAGUGUAAGUUUCCAAUGCAUUUUGUGUAAAUAUCGAUCACCUCCUUCACCGGAAUUAUGGAUUAAUGAUAAUUCUUAUGUUAAGUUUUAUGAAUAAUAAGUAAUAGAAUGACUCUACUACAUACAUCAACAAUCCUAAAUUUUACAUAGAUGCACUAAGAUAUUCAGCAAAGUGACCUGUUAGCGGAUUUGAAACUGCUUAUUUAAUAGCUUAUAUGAUUAUUGAGGCUUUUAUAAGUAGAUAAUCACUUUUGAGUGUUUGGAUGAAGAAUAGUGCUCUCUAUUAGAGGCGAAAUAAGUUGUUCAAUAGGUAGAAUGAUAUUCAUUAUUUCAAACUGAUGUGUUUGA
rnacentral:lncRNA from 1 species